rnacentral:piRNA from 1 species
UUGGUUCCCAUCAACCAUUUCCUGAAGC